AAAUGGGCAGGGGAGGGAAAAUGUCAUGAUCACAGAAGUUGUUUCUUCGGGGUGAGCCUUAUCCAUUGCACUUGGCUGUGCUGACCCCUGCAAUUUCCCCAAAUAUGGAAAGUUUGGUUGCAUAAGUUGUUGAAGAGGGGAACUGCAUUCAUGCUUUUUG